CGGUGUCCUUUUGUGACCUCACAUCCUGUUUUCCUCACUUCCUUUGAAUGGACCGGUUUGGGACGGUCCUGUCUCCGCGCGGCGUGGAGCUGUGUUGUUUCGGCGCCUGUCUGCUGACACAUGUUCGAUCUCCAGUGUUGCUAGGCUGCUGAACGGGGCACGCGAGCUAACUUUUGAUGCAACCGUUAGUUCACCUGACUAUGCAACGUCUCGUGCAUUGAUUGAGAAGAGAAAAGUGUCGUUGUUGAACUUCAGACAGAAUGAAGACGAAAGAGCCGACGAUUAUAAACCAGGGACUGGAGGAUGAGAUGGAGGUGUGGGGUUAUCGGCCCUGUGUAUGGAAGAUGAUCCUGGUGGGUGUAGGGACCGUGUGCUCCGGGGGUCUCCUGCUGCUCCUACUCUACUGGCUGCCUGAGUGGGGCGUUAAGGGUACCUGCACACACACCUCGCUGAGAGACGCACACACACUCCUGCUCAGGA